CCUACGGGUGGCAGCAGUGGGGAAUAUUGCACAAUGGGGGGAACCCUGAUGCAGCGACGCCGCGUGAGUGAAGAAGUAUUUCGGUAUGUAAAGCUCUAUCAGCAGGGAAGAAAAUGACGGUACCUGACGAAGAAGCCCCGGCUAACUACGUGCCAGCAGCCGCGGUAAUACGUAGGGGGCAAGCGUUAUCCGGAUUUAAUGGGUGUAAAGGGAGCGCAGACGGCUGUGCAAGUCUGGAGUGAAAGGCGGGGUCCCAACCCCCGGACUGCUCUGGAAACUGUAAAGCUGGAGAGCAGGAGAGGUAAGCGGAAUUCCUAGUGUAGCGGUGAAAUGCGUAGAUAUUAGGAGGAACACCAGUGGCGAAGGCGGCUUACUGGACUGCAACUGACGUUGAGGCUCGAAAGCGUGGGGAGCAAACAGGAUUAGAUACCCGGGUAGUC
rnacentral:rRNA from 1 species